GUACACUCCUGCGGGAGGCAGCAGUGGGGAAUUUUGGACAAUGGGCGAAAGCCUGAUCCAGCAAUGCCGCGUGUGUGAAGAAGGCCUUCGGGUUGUAAAGCACUUUUGUCCGGAAAGAAAUCCUUGGCUCUAAUACAGUCGAGGGAUGACGGUACCGGAAGAAUAAGCACCGGCUAACUACGUGCCAGCAGCCGCGGUAAUACGUAGGGUGCGAGCGUUAAUCGGAAUUACUGGGCGUAAAGCGUGCGCAGGCGGUUUGCUAAGACCGAUGUGAAAUCCCCGGGCUCAACCUGGGAACUGCAUUGGUGACUGGCAGGCUAGAGUAUGGCAGAGGGGGGUAGAAUUCCACGUGUAGCAGUGAAAUGCGUAGAGAUGUGGAGGAAUACCGAUGGCGAAGGCAGCCCCCUGGGCCAAUACUGACGCUCAUGCACGAAAGCGUGGGGAGCAAACAGGAUUAGAAACCCUUGUAGUCCCA
rnacentral:rRNA from 1 species